rnacentral:rRNA from 1 species
GAUGAACGCUGGCGGCGUGCCUAAUACAUGCAAGUCGAGCGAACAGAUGAGGAGCUUGCUCCUCUGACGUUAGCGGCGGACGGGUGAGUAACACGUGGAUAACCUACCUAUAAGACUGGGAUAACUUCGGGAAACCGGAGCUAAUACCGGAUAAUAUAUUGAACCGCAUGGUUCAAUAGUGAAAGACGGUUUUGCUGUCACUUAUAGAUGGAUCCGCGCCGCAUUAGCUAGUUGGUAAGGUAACGGCUUACCAAGGCAACGAUGCGUAGCCGACCUGAGAGGGUGAUCGGCCACACUGGAACUGAGACACGGUCCAGACUCCUACGGGAGGCAGCAGUAGGGAAUCUACCGCAAUGGGCGAAAGCUUGACGGAGCAACGCCGCGUGAGUGAUGAAGGUCUUCGGAUCGUAAAACUCUGUUAUUAGGGAAGAACAAAUGUGUAAGUAACUAUGCACGUCUUGACGGUACCUAAUCAGAAAGCCACGGCUAACUACGUG